GACCACUCCUCUAGCAUGUGAAGUUCUCAGGCCAGGGAUAAAAUCUGUGCCACAGCAGUGACCCAAGCCAUAGCAAUGACAGUACCAGAUCUUAACUGCUAGGCCACCAGGGAAUCCUCAAGCUUUUGUUUCUUUAUACAGAAUAAGAGUACUCCACCAGUAUCUAAAGCAUUGUUCAUUAGCUAGUAUAUAUACAGUGCUUAUCACUGUAUAAGGUACAUAGUAACUGAUAAGUAAAUACCAACUAUGAUUAUUAAUAAAAUGAACAGUCUUUUAAUCUACUUUUUUUUUUAAAAAAAAGCAAAUCUAAUUUCUUGCUCUUUUUUAAAGAUUUAAAUGAGAAUAAUUGAUCAUGAUUAGGUUGCUACCCAUAUAACCCCAUAUAAUUAUGUUAUUGAAUACUUUUCAAGUUAUGAGAAACAUAAAAAUGUUCUUGUAUUUCUACAUUACUUAUCAUACUUGGGAAAACUUGCCAUAAAUAUUCUUCAGGAUUUUUAAGAUAUGUGUAGGCUUAUUUUUAACAUAGGAUUGGGAAAUUUUUAACCUCUUAAAAAUUUGCAAACUCUUAUGAAAGAGUGCUCAAUGUCACUUGUGAAUGCAUUCCAAAUUGCUUUGGAAAGAAAAGUGAUCACAGCUUGAUGUAAUACUGGCCUCUUUAUGACAAUUAUUCUCUAAGACCAAAUCAUUUGAAAGUGCUCUAAGUCCAAACCCUUGUUACAAAGGGGCUUUCAUGAAAAUUGUGUCUAAGAAUGUCAAAAUCCAGUAUACUUUCCAUUAAGCAUACUUAAUCAAGUAUUUAAACACUCUACUUCUGCCUACUUCCCACUCACAUGGAUGAGCAAAGGCUUCCAUGGAUGUAAUAAUCUACGUUGGACACAUACCGACUUUUAGACUCUAGGUUUAUUUUCCAAACAUUAAUAGAAGAUGAAUAACAGUACAUCAUCCACAAAAAGCAAAACACCUACACAAUGUUGAGGGAACAUUUUGGUUUGCCGAGCUAACAAAUGUUUCAGUUCUGAAGGCAAAGACUAUUUUGCUUAAACAAAUAACAAAGUAUCACAACUUUUAAAAAAUCAUAAAAUUACCAUAAAUUUGUCUACAAUGCUAUCUAAACAUCUUUAAAGGUGUUACUUCUUAUUUUGAAAAUUUUAAGUACUAUAACUAACAAUUUCAAAAUAUGUUGGUUUCUACUAUUUUCAAUCCCACAGUUACCUAAACGUACAGAUAGUAUCAUUUGCCCAGCUUUUGCCUCUUUCAUAGUAAGAAAAGGAAAAAAUUAAAUCAAGGGAACUCCAAGGAAUUUUAUUACACUACAAAGAUAAUAUCAGUUAAAAUUUACAAGUCAAAGUAAAACCAUUCUGACUUUCCAUUAAUACAUAUUUUUUUCAGAAAUUUAAAACUCUGACCAAAGUUUAGCAAUUAGCCAAGCUAUUAGCUUACAAAUGCUUUGAUGCAUCACCAUUGUUUUGUUUUGGGUGGGUUUUUUUGUUUUUUGUUUGUUUGUUUGUUUGUUUGUUUGUUUUGGCUUUUUUGCCUUUUUAUAGGGCCACUCCCAUGGCAUAUGGAGAUUACCAGGCUAGGGGUCUAAUCGGAGCUGUAGCCGCCAGCCUACACCAGAGCCACAGCAACUCGGGAUCCAAGCCCGCAUCUGCGAACUACACCACAGCUCACGGCAAUGCCAGAUCCUUAGCCCACUGAGCAAGGCCAGGAAUCGAACCCGCAACCUCAUGGUUCAUAGUCAGAUUUGUUAACCACUGAGCCACGACGGGAACUCCCAUCACAAUUGUUUUUAAGUACGACCAGGGCACAAAAACUGUAGAUCUGUGAUGGUCAUACUUUUAAGUGAUGCUAUUUGAGGAUAGAUAAUAAGUAAUAAAGGAAAUGGGUUAAAGAUGCGCUAUUUUUAGUUAUUCUUUUGUGGACAGAAAGAAGCAAGUAGUUUAUUAAGAGAAUACCUAAGCUGAAUAGAACCCAGAUUGUUGAAAAUGAAACAAUUAAAUUAUGCAAAAACUAUGAGGACAGACUGUCAAAAAAAUUCUGCACUUGGUAUUACAAAACAUUUGACUGGGUUAAAUGAAGUUAACACAACCUGCCAUACAAGACUGGUCACGAACUUUUCUUAUUGUAACCUAAUUAUGAUAUUGCACAGGGAGCUAUAUUACAAGCAAUCUUCAGUUGUGACAUAACUUAAACUAUUAAUCUAUGACAAAAAAAUAUGCUCCCAAUCACACAAAAUAAAGGUCUUACUACAUUCAGUUAGCAAAAAUGGAAAGUUUACUUAGUUCAAAAUAUGCCCUUAUUCAAUUCUGCCAAUAACUCUGCAAGGUAGGCAUGUUUAUCCUCAUUUUAUAGAUCAGGAAAUGAAAGCUAGCUCAAAACUGUACAAUAACUUGGUCAAAGUCAUACCAUUCAUGAGGGGAAAGCUAGUAUUUGAAUCCAGGACUUAUAAAUGCCUACUAUCUCAAUUAGACUAGGAUAACCAAAUCAGGUAAAGAUGAACACCCAGUAGCUGUUAUCCUACUAGAAAUUUAUUCCUUCCACCGAAGUCUAGUUCCACAGCAUUCAAAGAGAGUUUAAAAGAAGAUGACGAUCAUGCGAAAAUUACACAGGAUUUGGGGUCAGAGCUAUAUGAAUUAAUAUGUUAGCACCACGACAAAUAGACUGUAACUUGGGCAAAAUUAUUUUACCUUUUCAGGUAAGUCUCUCAAAUUUGAAUAAAAAUUCCUCUCUUAUACAGUCAUUGUGGGGAUAAGAGAUAUGGUGCAAACCAUAGUAAACACAAUGGGCCAUAGAGGGCCAUUGACACAAAAACUGUGUUUCUGUACAUCCUUGCUGUAGAUAGAGGGCCAUUGACACAAAAACUGUGUUUCUGUACAUCCUUGCUGUAGAUACAAAAAUAAGGCUUGGAUACAUUCUAUGUUAAUUAAAGAGGAAACUCAAAUGUGAAUAUGUUGAAUAAAGCAUAUUAAGCAUGUACACGUCAUUGUUUGGCUAAUGAAAAUACAUAUGUUUAAAAAAAUAAUCCUAAUGAACAUAAAACUGACGAAUGUAUUUUACAUUCAUUUUUAAGAAAGUAAUAUAACUACCUUCUUGCUAAAAAAUUUCCUUUGACUAUCCUUGAGUUCAAAAUCUAUCCAUUGAAUAAACACUCACACCUGUUACGUCUAAGGCAACAUGGGCAUGUCUCAAUCCGUGUGCCAUAUUUUCACCACAAGUUUCUUUGCUGUAAACAUGUUUGUGGCAAACAUUUUGCUGAACAACUAACUGGUCAUAAGGCUGCUUUGCCAUGAAAGAUAAAACUGGUCGACAAUUUUUGGUUCAAUGGUUUGGUUUCAACUGGUUGAAAUACAUUAGCAUUUUUCACUUAGUGACAUUAUUGAUGGCUUUAUUGAGGUUAAAUAUGAGGAUGAUUUGCCCCAAGAGUUGGUUUCUUAUUUUGUUGUUGGUUGUUGUUUUCCUUUUUAAGGCCGCACCUGUGGCAUAUGGAAAUUCCCUGGCUAGGGGUUGAAUCAGAGCUGUGGCUGCCAGCCUAUGCCACCGCCACAGUCACAGCCACAGCAAGCAGGAUCCAAGGGGUAGACCUAUACUGCAGCUUGCAGCAAUGCCAAAUCCUUAACCUACUGAGCGAAGCCAGCGAUCGAACCCACAUGGUCAUGGACACUAUGUCAGGUUCUUAACCCACUUAGCCACAACAGGAACUCCUGAUUUCUUAUUUUGAAACACAUGUAAAGGCAUUCACAAUGCAAUACAAAACUCAGGUACAAGUAUACAUUCUAGUAUGUGGAAACUGAUACUUCUCUUAAUACUUCUCUCUUUGCUAAAAUUUCCUCCCUUAAUUGGAAUUUUAGCAAAAAAGAAAAAGUGUAAUGCCAAGCCAGGACAUGAAUCAACAACCAAAAAAAAAAAAAAUUGCAUAUGUAUGAAAUACAAUGAGCAAAAUACUUGCAAGACAAGUGCUUAGGUAAAACCCAAAAAUUAAAUCAGUUAUUUAUGCAGUAUUGCCAAGAAUCUACACGCGUUUUCAGUGUAUUCAAAUAUUUCGCAGUCUUUUUAAUUUUGUUAUUUAUAACUCAUGUUUCAUUAUGUCCUUUGUAAUGUCCCUCUUUUAUUGUUUGUUACCUAUCUUUUAUGAAAAAUUGCCUUAGCUAAUGAGUUAUACAGUGAAAAUGAUUGCACCAAAGAUGCUGAUGGCAAAAGUACUUAGAACAUUGCUUAGAAAUGUUGCCAUCAAGGGGAACAUGUAACAAUUGGAAACACUGCUUCCUUACUAUUAAAAGUCUAGCAAAAUCAUCUACCUCCCAGAGAUCUACAAUGUUGGGUCAAAAAAUCUGAAAUGAAGUGAAGACUAUGUUGAUUCUGUACACUGUGCUAUGAAUAGAUUAAUCACUACAUCCCUUCUGUGGGUAAGCUAUAGCAGAGCAUUACCUCCACAUUUUCUUUGAGAUUCCAAAACUGUGGAACUACUGUUUGGGGAAAAUGUUGGCAGACCUUUAUCAGACCUUCCAGGAUACAUGCCCACCUGUACCACACAUCACAUCACCUCACUGUAUCUCCUACUACUCUCCUCUGCACUCAGCUCUAGUUAGUUAUACUGGUGUCCAAGUCAUUCCUUGAACACACCAGGCACUGUCUGGCCUCAUCACUUUCUUAUUGGAAUAUUCCCCCCCUUAUAUCUGAAUGUUUCUCUCCCUAAUCCCCUUCUAGACUUUACUCAAAGGUCACUUUCUCAAUGAAUUAUGCUUGAACCACCCAAUUUAAAACAUUAGCUUGCAUGUUGCCAGACACUACAA
rnacentral:lncRNA from 1 species